rnacentral:miRNA from 1 species
CCUGCGUGCGUGCGUGCGUGUGUGUGUGUGUGUGUGUGUGUGUGUGUGUGCCACACAUGCACAUGCACAGGCGCGCACGC